GACGAACGCUGGCGGCGUGCUUAACACAUGCAAGUCGAACGGAAAGGCCCUGCUUUUGUGGGGUGCUCGAGUGGCGAACGGGUGAGUAACACGUGAGUAACCUGCCCUUGACUUUGGGAUAACUUCAGGAAACUGGGGCUAAUACCGGAUAGGAGCUCCUGCUGCAUGGUGGGGGUUGGAAAGUUUCGGCGGUUGGGGAUGGACGCGCGGCUUAUCAGCUUGUUGGUGGGGUAGUGGCUUACCAAGGCUUUGACGGGUAGCCGGCCUGUGAGGGUGACCGGCCACAAUGGGACUGCGAUACGGCGCAGACUCGUACGGGAGGCAGCAGUGGGGAAUAUGGCACAAUGGGCGGAAGCCUGAUGCAGCAACGCCGCGUGCGGGAUGACGGCCUUCGGGUUGUAAACCGCGUUCGCCUGUGACGAAGCGUGAGUGACGGUAAUGGGUAAAGAAGCACCGGCUAACUACGUG
rnacentral:rRNA from 1 species